GGCUUCGUAGCUCAGCUGGUGGAGUGCUUGUUGCGUUUUGGCAUGUUGUUUCUGUCGCUGGUUCGAAUCCAGCCGAAGUCC